rnacentral:rRNA from 1 species
AUUGAACGCUGGCGGCAGGCCUAACACAUGCAAGUCGAGCGGAUGAAGGGAGCUUGCUCCUGGAUUCAGCGGCGGACGGGUGAGUAAUGCCUAGGAAUCUGCCUGGUAGUGGGGGAUAACGUCCGGAAACGGGCGCUAAUACCGCAUACGUCCUGAGGGAGAAAGUGGGGGAUCUUCGGACCUCACGCUAUCAGAUGAGCCUAGGUCGGAUUAGCUAGUUGGUGGGGUAAAGGCCUACCAAGGCGACGAUCCGUAACUGGUCUGAGAGGAUGAUCAGUCACACUGGAACUGGGACACGGUCCGGACUCCUACGGGAGGCAGCAGUGGGGAAUAUUGGACAAUGGGCGAAAGCCUGAUCCAGCCAUGCCGCGUGUGUGAAGAAGGUCUUCGGAUUGUAAAGCACUUUAAGUUGGGAGGAAGGGCAGUAAGUUAAUACCUUGCUGUUUUGACGUUACCAACAGAAUAAGCACCGGCUAACUUCGUG